rnacentral:rRNA from 1 species
UACGAAGGGGGCUAGCGUUGCUCGGAAUUACUGGGCGUAAAGGGAGCGUAGGCGGGUCGUUAAGUCAGAGGUGAAAUCCCGGGGCUCAACCUCGGAACUGCCUUUGAUACUGGCGACCUUUAGUAUGGGAGAGGUAAGCGGAACUCCGAGUGUAGAGGUGAAAUUCGUAGAUAUUCGGAAGAACACCAGUGGCGAAGGCGGCUUACUGGCCCAUUACUGACGCUGAGGCUCGAAAGCGUGGGGAGCAAACAGG